CGAGAGGUCGGUGCCGGAGUGUCAGGAACCAUAGUCAUCAGGUCACCGACCCUUUUCACGCGCUACGUCGGAGAGCCGGACCGGACGGACGCCGUCUGGUGGAAGGACGGAUGGUUCAUAUCCGCGGAUGCUGGGUAUUUGAGCCCCGAGGGUCGUGUUUUUGUGUUUGGUCGAAGUGGUGACGUCAUUUCUAGAGGCAUUGUACUAACUUACCCAGCGUGGGUCGAGAAACCAAUCAGCUCUCACCCGGAAGUACUCGAGAUCAUGGCGGUUCCUGUCCCAGACGAC